AGUCUGCACUAGCUUAAUCUCCAUCACAGCGGCACCCUCCCUGUGCAGUUCUCUUGCAGGUCUCCCUCCCUUGCCCCUCUCUUCCCCUCAGCGGGUUUUCAAGAUACUGCAAUCAACUGCUUUUCUCCACACUUGGAUAAGACUAUCCACUCUUACUUUCCAUGUUUCCUAAGUGCUGCUUGUGGUCUGUAGCUGAAGUGAAACAGGCCUGGCAGCUUUGAGGGCUGUAACUUGUGAAACACUUUUACUCUAAGGCCUGUAGCACAGAUGCUGCAGCUUCAUGUGUGCUUGAGCUUCAUUACUUUUGUAAUGAAUGCCCAUAAUGUUCCUCCUCACAGAGAGAAAAAUUGAAGAGUCACGAAGUGGGGUUCCCCUUCCUUGGAGAAGAGGUGGUUGAGAAGGCACAGGCUGAGAAAUUCCCAAAGCAGAUCUCUGUCACUCCUCCCAGCCACUCUUACUCAUUCCAGUCUUCAAUGGGAAGUGUUUGAAAUAAUUAUUUGAAGCGCUGUUUAAUUGAAAUGCAUUGUAUCCAAACUAGCUCAGAUGAGCCCAAACUCUUUUUGUGAUGGGCUGCAAAACUCUGGAGUCCUUGGAGGGAAGAAGUCAGGUGGAACUGAGAGAUGAUGAGGCAGUUGCGGGGCCAGGCAGAGGGCAUGCUGUUGGACCGCAGGUACCGUGGAGUCAUUUGUCACCCUCAGGAAGAGCUGGCCUAAAAGAAAAAAGCUUCCAUAACAUGAAGUAGCCCCCCUUCCUCCCUCCCUCUCCAGGUUUGAUCUCACUGUUAUUUGGGGUGGAAGUAUUUUUCUGGUUUUGAAAUUUCUGCCAAAUGACAAGCUCCCAGGACAGGGCAUUUCAGCUCAGUGAGACUGAUGCUCUUGUCACUUUUACUGCUACCUCCAGCACAAACGGACAGAGAUGCCAAUUUCCCUGAGCAGCUGCUGGCGCCUGCCACCAAAUGGGACUCUGGGGGCACCCACCAGUGGAUUGGCCCACAGCUUCCAGCAUCUCCAGCCCGGGGCAGGUGUGCCAGCAGUCAGAAUGACCAAUCUCAGAGGACUGUCUUGGAUUAAGAGGAAGAUGCUUUGACUGGAAAAUUUCAGGCUUCACAGUGUGGUAUUUUCUGACUAAUCUAUAUUUUGACAGCGCUAUCAAACAUUUGUGCAAUAACUCUCAAGAAUUCUCACAAUCUAUGGUCUCACGUUCCCUCUUUUCUUGCACAUCAGAUGGACUCUCCUGAUUGCAUUUAAUAUCCAUCCAGCAUGUGAGCAAAAAAGCUCUUGAAAGUAGGUCUGCUUUUAAGGUCAUGGAGAAAGAACAGUCAAAUCUGACCAGAACUAAGGCAGUUCUUCUACAUUUCAUACUAACUGAAAAUAAUAAUACAAAGAAAUGUUCAUAGAGGAAACCUCAAACCAUCCCAAACUGCUCUUCUAUGAAUGAAUUCAAACACAAAAACUGCCUGCGUGUUGUCUGCAGGAGUUCAAACUUAAGAUGUGUCAACAUGAACACUGUGGCCGCCUCAGCUAUUGUUAGUCCCAUUGCCAGGCACCUAAUAAUUCCAUACUGGAAAAGGUUUGUGCUGUCUCAGCAGGGAAACAGGCAGCCAUGUGGUAGAGGCUAUCCAGUUAUGAGGAGUUUUUUAGGAAACACCGUAAACACGUUUUCCUUCAGGAACCUUUUCUUGAGUCAAAGGCAGGAAAAAAAAAAGUCAACCUUAUUAAUUCAUGGUGUUGCAAGAAGGAAAGAGUGCCAAACAUCCUGCCCAUGACGAUCCUUGGGGAGAGAAUACAAGAAACAGGGCAAGCCCUGAGGAAUCCUUGCCAUCGCCCAGUGCUGCUGGCUCUGCUUCUGCUGAGGGAGGACCUCUUCUGCCUAGCCUCAGCCCAGUUACCUUUCUUGUGACCCCCUGGAAGGACAAUGACAAGAGAUGAGAUCUUGAGAUGUCACAAGGCCGGCCAAGAAAGGAACCCCUUUUUGGCAUGAAUGCAACAUGAUCAAAAUCAGAAGACGACAGCCUUCUGCAGUGUCAAAGCCCUAUUUCUAGAAAGCAUGUAACUGUUUAAUAGUCUUCUCUCUGUGAGGGAAGCCAUUUUAUCUACAGUUUUCCUUGGGAAACUAGUCCAAAGCCUGAUGUGGCAUCAAGAAAAUCUAAAGGGGUACUGACAGUUCUCAUUGUGCUGAUUUUCAAAUGAAUCCAAUUGCCACUAUUGCUGGUAAAGUCUUUUAAUAUGCGUCUACUGAAGUUUUAUUGACAUGUUUAUGGACUAAUAAGAAAAGAAAAAAAGAAAAAAGAACUCAGGAAGAACAGUUUGCAGGAGCUGAAAUGUUUUAACAAUGGUUUUGUAACUGACUUGCAUUAUUUUUGGUCCUUGGAGAAAGAAACUGUGGAAAAUUCAAAAUCACUAAUGAAAUGGUCUCUGGCCUCUGCCUUUUAAACCAUUUUAUAUGGUGUUUUCUCAUUUUCUGCUGCCUCUCAUUUACAUUUCACGUCCUUCAUUUUUAAUGUCUGUGGGCAGCUGGCUACUAUGUGUUAUACCUUCUUUCCACACAACUCAUUUAUCUGCUAUUAUAUUUUCCUAUUCUCUUACCACUGGGAAAACAGCAUGUUGACAUAUCAUCUUAUGAUUUAUGCUUUUAAAUACCCACCUGAUCCAGCCUUAUUAUGUCCUCAAUUGUUGACUUCAGAGCGAAUUAAAGUAGAGACUUUAGCAUCUGUUUUGAAAUUGCAGAGAUUAGCUGGAAAAUUUUGUAAUGAUUCUGAUGAGCAUCUGUCAGGUUUUUUUUUUUUUUGUGGGGCACUGGUAAGAGCUUGUCAGUGGCAUCUAGCUUCCACUUCAUCACGUCUGGUGGCUUAGGGUCUAGGCAUUUCCAAAGCCUGGGAUCUACUCCAUGAGUUGUGCUCUUUUGCUUGGGCACAUUUCUGGUUUCAGUAACACAUAAUGUGUAACUUUUUCAUGUGCUUUUAUAAACUCAUAAAAUGAGUCUGAUUGAGAGCUAUGCCUUUUCAGUUCACUUAUGAGAGUUGUCCAAUUGCUGUAUCCAGCUCAGUUAACAUCCAAAUUUGGUUUCAUGGAAAAAAGGUUAUUGGUUCUAUCCCAGAGGUCACAUCGAACUUAGAAAAUAAAGGUCACAUUAUAUCUUGAAUUCAGAAUGCACAGAUGCUAUAUGGAGAUAAAACAUGAAACCCAGAAGGAAGGGCAAGAAGUAUUUGCAACUAUUCUAUGUAUAUGUAAAUAGAAAGCAGAUAAUUUAGUGCUGGAAGAGUGUGGUUUCCUUUUUCUCUUUUAACAAAAUAAUAUCAUAA
rnacentral:lncRNA from 7 species